rnacentral:rRNA from 1 species
GUUUCCUUCGGGAAAUUAGUAAAGUGGCGCAAGGGUGAGUAUCACGUGAAUAAUCUGCCCUCGAGAUCGGGAUAACAUGGUGAAAACUAUGCUAAUACCGGAUAAGACCACAUUUCAUAAGAAAUGCGGUAAAAGAAGUCUCAAUCUUCACUCGAGGAUGAGUUCGCGCAACAUUAGCUUGUUGGUAAGAUAAAAGCUUACCAAGGCUACGAUGUUUAGCCGGCCUGAGAGGGUGAACGGCCACACUGGAACUGAGACACGGUCCAGACUCCUACGGGAGGCAGCAGUGGGGAAUAUUGCGCAAUGGGCGAAAGCCUGACGCAGCAACGCCGUGUGAGCGAUGAAGGCUUUAGAGUCGUAAAGCUCUGUCAAAUGGGAAGAAUUCUGACGGUACCAUUAGAGGAAGCCCCGGCUAACUCCGUGCCAGCAGCCGCGGUAAUACGGAGGGGGCAAGCGUUGUUCGGAAUUAUUGGGCGUAAAGCGUAUGUAGGCGGCUAAGUAAGUCAGGCGUGCAAGCCCGUGGCUCAACCACGGAAUUGCGUUUGGAACUACUUAGCUUGAGUACAGGAGAGGAAAGCGGAAUUCCCAGUGUAGCGGUGAAAUGCAUUGAUAUUGGGAAGAACAUCUGUGGCGAAGGCGGCUUUCUGGUCUGUUACUGACGCUGAGAUACGAAAGCCAGGGUAGCGAACGGGAUUAGAUACCCCGGUAGUCCUGGCUGUAAACGAUGGGCACUAGGUGGAGGAGGUAUCGAUCCCCUCUCUGCCGUAGCUAACGCGUUAAGU